rnacentral:rRNA from 1 species
CCUACGGGAGGCAGCAGUGAGGAAUAUUGGUCAAUGGGCGAGAGCCUGAACCAGCCAAGUCGCGUGAGGGAGUACUGCCCUAUGGGUUGUAAACCUCUUUUGUCGGGGAGCAAAAGCCGGACGUGUCCGGCUGUGAGAGUACCCGAAGAAAAAGCAUCGGCUAACUCCGUGCCAGCAGCCGCGGUAAUACGGAGGAUGCGAGCGUUAUCCGGAUUUAUUGGGUUUAAAGGGUGCGCAGGCGGGUUUUUAAGUCAGCGGUAAAAUCGUGGGGCUCAACCCCAUCCAGCCGUUGAAACUGGGGAUCUAGAGUGUGCGAGAGGUAUGCGGAAUGCGUGGUGUAGCGGUGAAAUGCAUAGAUAUCACGCAGAACCCCGAUUGCGAAGGCAGCAUACCGGUGCACAACUGACGCUCAGGCACGAAAGCGUGGGUAUCGAACAGGAUUAGAUACCCGUGUAGUC